rnacentral:rRNA from 1 species
CCUACGGGUUGCACCAGUGGGGAAUAUUGCACAAUGGACGCAAGCCUGAUGCAGCCAUGCCGCGUGUGUGAAGAAGGCCUUCGGGUUGUAAAGCACUUUCAGCGGGGAGGAAGGCGGUGAGGUUAAUAACCUUGUCGAUUGACGUUACCCGCAGAAGAAGCACCGGCUAACUCCGUGCCAGCAGCCGCGGUAAUACGGAGGGUGCAAGCGUUAAUCGGAAUUACUGGGCGUAAAGCACACGCAGGCGGUCUGUCAAGUCGGAUGUGAAAUCCCCGGGCUCAACCUGGGAACUGCAUUCGAAACUGGCAGGCUAGAGUCUUGUAGAGGGGGGUAGAAUUCCAGGUGUAGCGGUGAAAUGCGUAGAGAUCUGGAGGAAUACCGGUGGCGAAGGCGGCCCCCUGGACAAAGACUGACGCUCAGGUGCGAAAGCGUGGGGAGCAAACAGGAUUAGAUACCCUCGUAGUC